rnacentral:lncRNA from 1 species
CCCCUGCUUCCCAUCUUUCAUUCCUGUGCAGUGAAUGCUAUUGGCUACUGAUGUCAGGUUGGGCUGCUGAUGUCAUAGUGGCUCGCCUUAUGAUGGAACCUGUCUCCUGCCUUCAGUAGCAAAGCAAUGAAGAGAAGACAUGGGCAAACUCCCUUGCAGAAAAGUGGAAGAUUAUAGUAGCAGAUUGAAAAUGAUGCAUGGAGAACAUCGACCAUCAGUUCUUUGCUGAGUGCAUUUCACUAGAUGCACUGGAAGAAUAGGUAUUUUGCCUUUCUCUCACAUGUGGAACACUUUCAGAUACAAGUGGUGUUUCUUGUACCAUUUCUAGUAAGAACCAUUACUCCAGGUUAUGCACCAGCCAUAUGUUGGAUAGGCAAAUAAACAAAUGUGCAAAUAAAACAUCCUCACAGGGCUUCUCUAAGUGCUUGGCUCACCGCUUCAGCUUCCUCCACUCUGUCCAUCAUUGUCCUCAGAGGGGAGUGUUGAUCCCUUAUGUCUUUUAAUCAGUGUUCAGGUUCUUAGCUCAUCCUUGGGGUACUCCAGAACAGUCAUUAUGAUGAUAAAUAUCCUCAUAUUAUAUUGAUUUGGAACUUAAAACUCCAGAAGAAUAAAAAAAAAUGCUGCACAACUUUGGGCUUCCAACCAGCAACUUGUAGCUUGCAAUCAACACAGAUAAGAGUCCGAAAAUAGAAUAUAAGGCAAAUGAUCAAUGCUCAUUUAGUACGACUGAGCCAUUUGCAACUUUUCAGGACUAUUUUCCACAGCACGUAGGUGUGUAGUACCACCACUGGAUUGUAAUCAUAAAUACUUAAAUUCUAUUAACAUAGUAGCAUACUGUUAUCUCUCUUUAAAAGUAUUACUUCUACUCAUUGAUUAAUUCUACUCAUGAAUAUUCAUCACUUGUUCUCUAGAUUUAAUUAGUACAUGAAGACUUAAAUAACUGCAUGUGUGAACUAUCUCUGUUGAAAAGUAUUAUUUCUGAGCUGAACUACACUAAUUAUCACUUUAGUUAUUUAUACAAUAUAAAGCAUUUGCUUCAUCUCCCCACAUAUAAAAAAUUGUCCAUUUAUUUUUGUAGGUAACUUGGGUGGCAAUAGUGCACUAGUCUGGAACUAGUCAAGACAGCAGGCAUGUAGCAAAAUCCUGUCUCCCCCAGAGAGUUUAUGGCUGUGUACACAUUACCAGCUUAAGAUGCAGCUAGGCCUUUCUUUUUAUCAAUUUAGAUCAAAUAUAGUUUGUGGGAAAAUGCAUCAAAACACAGUAUUUCAUAGGAAAUGACAGGAUAGAUAUAGAUUGUAGUUAAUGUUGUGUGUACACCUUCCCAAACUAGCAAUGGGAGGUCAUUGGAUGCAGUGCUUUUCUUCUAGAAAAAAAGGUGCUGGUACUAUGUACCCUUGAGAACUCCCAGAAAAAAGCACUGACUGGAUGCAGAGUAAACAAAGAGGGUGUACACAGCAUAAUACAACAAAGCAUACAAUGUAACAUCAGUGCACUACCAGUCAUCAUAAAGGGCAGCCCAAGUGGAAUGUGGUGGAGAUCACCACAGCACCCAGAAAUUGUGACAUGGGUUUCACAGUAGCAGACAUUACCAGGGCACACGAGGACAAAAAAAUGUCAGGAUGCUAUUUUUGGUGGCAGCUAGACAUCUCCAAACAUGACUAGUUCCAGUCCUGGUCCCUAUAGCAAAGAGGGUAAUAUAAAUGCAAUGAAUCACAGGUUGGUGGUGGGGUUUUUUUAAGCUGUAUAAUAAUGCUAAUUGGUCAUACUAUCUUCAACGUUUCCCCGUGUCUGGAGUUCUUUUGCAAGGUGUGUAUUUUGUACAAAAGUCAAAGAAAGAGCAAUCAAGAAAGUGUUGGCCGUUGGCAACAAAAACACUUGGAAAACUAUAAGAAAAUUAUCCCCAAACAUCUUGGUGCUACAAUUGAAAGGUAAAUUGCAGCGACAUAAAAUUACUCCAGCAAUCUCCAAAUCCACACUGUACAUCUAUAAAGACUGACUGAAGAUGCUUUCCUAACAAGUGCUAUGAGCACUGAGAGUUCUGAGCAUUUAUGUGGAAAUACUUUUAUAAAGGCAAUCUCUAACACUAAAAUUAAUAUAUGUCUCCACCAGGAUUUAGUUAUUUUUGCUGCGGGGCAUGGAAAUUAUUAUGUUCUAUAUGCUGCAGCUGUAUCUUAGAAUCAAAAAGCACCUCAGCCCAGCUUACACUUCAAAUGCAAGAAAUGCCCACUAACUAGCUUUCUCCAAACCUGCUUUAAAUGUGGCCAGUACAUAUGGUUUGCGACUUUCCCUUUUAACAAGUGAAAUAACAUGUUACAUAUUGCCAGAGCCAUCCAGGUACUGUAUACAAUACAAACACUAGAAUCAAACGAUUCAAACCAUUCCACAAACUCUCUGCUCAGGAAUAUACUUUCCUGAUACUGUGCCAAUGUACAUCAGCAUUCAUUAUAACAAACUAAAAUAUUACUGGGGGAAAUGCCUCCUACAGUCCUCGCAUCCCACUCCUGGGACACAGUCAAGAAUGCUAGAGAAGGUUCAGUGGACCUGCCUACGUGCCUUUUAUGUUACAAUCAACCAGCAUGCCUAGCCAGAUAAAGAACAAGCAACAGCAAUGGAGGUUAUUCAAGGCCUACAGCAUAUCCCAGUCAUUUCAACAGCAGUGCUAGGAUCCUCACAGGUAUUACAAUCAGCCAGAGCAGCAACAUCUAAGCUUAUCCCUCCAGCAAUGAAGAGUUACAUACCUUACUCUUAUGUGACACAACAAGGGGAGAAGGCAGACGUCUUGCUGAUUGGUGGUGUUGCUUCAGCUUCUCUGUAAAAGAUACAGGAAUCAAUAUGACUAUGACAGUACAAUGAGUGGCAGAAUUUUGCUCCUAGUGAAAAAGAAAUCUAUCAUGUCUAUUGGAACCUUCAUGUAUUUCUUUUAUAAAAGCAAGUUUCUAUCACUCCUUGGGGGGGGGGUUCCCACCUUUCGGGGAGAGGGUUAUUGUGCUUUAAACAGCUACAUGGCAGGCAGAAAUUCAGCAGGUGAAUGGUUUUUCAUGUCUGCAACUUUAUGUUGAGAAGCAUACCCUGCUGGAUUUCCACCUAUUGUGUAACAGUUGAAAAUACAGGCACCUUGCAAAAAAGAAAAAGGGACUUCAUAAUAAAGAGAAAAUACUUUUUUCUAUUUUUUCUGCUUUCUAUUUUUUCUGCUAUUACUUUCUGCUUUCCUUAUUUUAAUUCCUUAUUUUAAGUCUCUUAAAUCCUAUGCCAAUCUUUAACAAUUUCAAUUAAUGCCUCCCUCCCUCCCACACAACCCAAUACUUCCCUCCACCUGUGUGGGAUCUUCUUUGCCUACUAUUAUUUUUGUUAUUGUUGCGUUACUCAUUUUAUUUGUUAUUCCAUCCUUAGUAUAUUAUCCUAUCUCCUUGCACCUUUUAAACUUUUGCAUAUUAAUUUUUAAGCUCCAGCACCAACUUUUUUCAUGUAUUCCUUAACACAUUCCCACUCUUUAUUAAUUUUUUGAUUAGAGCAGCCUCUGAUUGAUGCUGUUAAUUUUGCCAUCUCCGUGAAUUCGAGAAGUUUGGUUCUCCAUUCUAAUAAUUCUGGUAUUUUAUCAGUUUUCCAAUUUUACGCCACUACGAUUCUGGCUGCCCUUGCGAUUCUGGCUGCUGCGGUUGCGUAAAGGAAUAUAUUCCUUUUAUCCUUGGGGAUGUCACUCAAUACUAAACCCAGCAAAAAUACCACGUUGCACCCCCACCACUUUUGGUACAUCGUCCCCACCUCUGUUUUGCAUCUCCGACAGAGAUUUGAUUGUUUUUUGUACAUCUUUGAUAGUUUUACUAGGGUGAGGUACCAGCGGUAAAACAUCUUCAUUAUGUUUUCCUUAUUCAAAUAGCACACUGUAAAAUUUAUAUCAGUUUUCCCUAGUCUUUCCCAUCUGUCUAAGUGAAUUGUCUGGCCCAGCUCUUGUGACCAUUUUAUCAUUGGUUCUUUUAUUACCUCAUCUUUCAAGGAGCAAGCUGUAUAUUUUCGAUAUUAUUUUCCUAUUUGGUUGCAGUAGUUCACUUUGUAAUUUUGAUGUUUUCUGUUCAAAUCCUAUUUUUUUAUCUUGGUUUUUAUCUAUUUUUUUAUCUUCAAAAGACUCUUGUCCUGUUUUACGAAACUGAGUAAUUACCCUUGCCCAACUGUAAGGUUCUAUAUCAAAUGAAGUUCUAUGGCUGCACUUAUUCCCCCUUCCACUCCCUGGCCAGUAAAUAAAUAAAGCAGGAAAAAAUAACUGCAGGAAAUACUAGAUUUCAGGUUUCAAGCUGUUACUUCCUCUCCUCUCCCCAAAACAUGUUCCCUUUUUAAAUGCAUUAUUUAAAUACUAGCUUUUACCUAGCAUAGUGCAAGUAUCUUCUUGUAAGGCACUCAACAGCACAAUCCUAAGCAUGUUUACUCAGAAGCAGUGCUUUUUUUCUGGGGGGAUGAAUACCCCUAAACAUUUUGUGAAUCUAAGUUUGGUCUCAUUGAUGGGCAGUAUUUCAAUAUGAGUAGGAAAAUGAGAGCACCGCUAAACAUUUUCUUAGGGGGGGAAAACACUGCUCAGAAGUAAGUCCUAUUGAGUUCAGCGGGGCUGACUCCUAGGACAGUAGGUAUAGCAUUGCAGCCCACAUCCUCCUCUCAAGUUCCACUGCAGGGCAAAAUGCAGGCUAUGGUUUCCGUAUCUCAGGUAACAGGCCACAAUUUCCUCCAAACCACUUAAGAGCAUAGCUUCCAAAUGCUGCUGACAUUUUGGUUCCUAUUUUUCUGCCUUCUUUAAAUUCAUUCAUUGAGGAACAAGCUUAUUGAUGCAGCAUGUAUUUUUCCUGAGUCAUUUGAAUACUGAAAAUUGAAAAUGCUAGCAUUUACAAGGAAAAUGGGGCCUGCUGUCUGCUUUCCCAAAACCAUAAUGCCAUCUGUAGUGUACUCUUUACAGCUAUUUAAUUGCAAGUCAGAGGGGAAAGGGGGGGGGGUGUCUUUCAGUGAUUGGAGCAGAGACUCUUAAGGAGAAAAAUGCAUUUAAAAAGCUUCUUAAAUGAGUCUAUAAUGCAAAUGUAAAACCUACUGUAGCUGCAAUAUACAUUCCAAGUUCUCUUCUUUAUUAUCUCUUGCAGUAUCAAAAUUCACAUGUGGCAAGGACAGAGGCUCUAAGCUGAUUAUAGCUGCAUGUGUGGAAAUCCUCGUAAGUUAGAGAGUGCCCUCCAGAUGUAACCUACUGCCCUCCAGAUGUUGAACUACCAUCAUUCCUCACAAUUGGUCAUGCUGAAUGAAGUUUCUGGAAGUUGACUGAGAACACUCAAUACAUUUAAAACAUGUUCCCCACCACCACAAAGAAUCAUGGGAACUGUGGGUUGUUUAGAGUGCUGAGGACUGUAGCUCUAUGAGAAGUAAACUACAGUUCCCAGGAUUCUUUUGGGCAGGGGGGUGUGCUUGAAAUGCAUGGGGUGUCAGCAGCCAAGAUUCUUCACAAUCAUUAAACCAGUGAUGGCCAAACUUGGUCCUCCAGCUGUUUUCGGACUACAACUCCCAUCAUCCCUAGCUAACAGGACCAGUGAUCAGGGAUGAUGUCCCAAAAUAGCUGGAGGGCCAAAUUUGGGCAUCACUGCAUUAAACACACACCAGUAUAGUAUUCAAUGCCUCACAGUGCAAUCCUGUGUCUACUCAGAAGCAAGUACUGCUGAAUGCAACAGGCCUUGCUCCCAGGUAAGGGUGAGUAAGACUGCAGUCUCAGUCAGUAUACAACACCAGCUCAAGGAGGUCUCCUUGCCACUGCCCCAAAAAUGUUACAAGGUUUGUCUGCUUAUGAAUCAAAAUGCCAAAGUUAAAGGGGGAGGGCUGUUCCUAUGCUUGGUUACUUGGAAGCUAGUCCUGCUAUGUUCAAUGAGUCUUAAAGGUAAAGGUACCCCUGACCGUUAGGUCCAGUUGCGGACAACUCUGGGGUUGCACGCUCAUCUCGCUCUAUAGGCUGAGGGAGCUGACAUUUGUCCGCAGACAGCUUCCGGGUCAUGUGGCCAGCAUGACUAAGCCGCUUCUGGCGAACCAGAGCAGCACACGGAAACACCGUUUACCUUCCCGCCGGAGCGGUACCUAUUUAUCUAUUUGUACUUUGACGUGCUUUCGAACUGCUAGGUGGGCAGGACCUGGGACCAAACAAUGGGAGCUCACCCCAUUGCGGGGAUUCGAACCAGCGACCUGCUGAUCGGCAAGCCCUAGGCUCUGUGGUUUAGACCACAGUGCCACCCACGUCCCUCAAUGAGGCUUACUUGGGCAUAAGUGUGCACAGGAAGUCUAAUUUCUUAUCCUUAGGAGGAUGAAGCAGGGCAACUACAUGACAGAAUAUGCCAUUAGAGAACUAUUAAAUGAGGAUUAAAUGAGAAGACCUUUGUGGAGCAGGACAAACAAAUAACUAUUAUGGUAAGAGAUAAUUAAAUCCCACAUACACCACCAUUACAAGAAUUACUACUUCUGCUAAAAGCCAGAGCAGCUGCAUAAAUAAUUGAAUAACUACCAAUUACGUGGGCUUUGUGAACAGGUGACUUGGGGAGCACAAUGAACCAGCUUGC